AUUAGAUACCCGGGUAGUCCACACAGUAAACGAUGGGCACUAGUUGUGGGAACCUUCCACGGUUUCUGCGACGCAGCUAACGCAUUAAGUGCCCCGCCUGGGGAGUACGAUCGCAAGAUUAAAACUCAAAGGAAUUGACGGGGCCCCGCACAAGCAGCGGAGCAUGCGGCUUAAUUCGACGCAACGCGAAGAACCUUACCAAGGCUUGACAUAUACAGGAAUAUGGCAGAGAUGUCAUAGCCGCAAGGUCUGUAUACAGGUGGUGCAUGGUUGUCGUCAGCUCGUGUCGUGAGAUGUUGGGUUAAGUCCCGCAACGAGCGCAACCCUCGUUCUGUGUUGCCAGCAUUUAGUUGGGGACUCACAGGAGACUGCCGGGGUCAACUCGGAGGAAGGUGGGGAUGACGUCAAAUCAUCAUGCCCCUUAUGUCUUGGGCUGCACGCAUGCUACAAUGGCUGGUACAAAGGGCUGCAAUACUGCAAAGUGGAGCGAAUCCCAAAAAGCCAGUCUCAGUUCGGAUUGGGGUCUGCAACUCGACCCCAUGAAGUCGGAGUUGCUAGUAAUCGUAGAUCAGCAACGCUACGGUGAAUACGUUCCCGGGGCUUGUACACACCGCCCGUCACAUCACGAAAGUCGGUAACACCCGAAGUCAGUGGCCCAACCGUAAGGGGGGAGCUGCCGAAGGUGGGAUCGGUGAUUGGGAUGAAGUCGUAACAAGGUACC
rnacentral:rRNA from 1 species